AUUGAACGCUGGCGGAAUGCUUUACACAUGCAAGUCGAACGGCAGCACGGGGGCAACCCUGGUGGCGAGUGGCGAACGGGUGAGUAAUACAUCGGAACGUGCCCGGUCGUGGGGGAUAACGUAGCGAAAGUUACGCUAAUACCGCAUACGAUCUGAGGAUGAAAGCGGGGACCUUCGGGCCUCGCGCGAUCGGAGCGGCCGAUGUCAGAUUAGGUAGUUGGUGGGGUAAAGGCCUACCAAGCCGACGAUCUGUAGCUGGUCUGAGAGGACGACCAGCCACACUGGGACUGAGACACGGCCCAGACUCCUACGGGAGGCAGCAGUGGGGAAUUUUGGACAAUGGGCGCAAGCCUGAUCCAGCCAUUCCGCGUGCAGGACGAAGGCCUUCGGGUUGUAAACUGCUUUUGUAUGGAACGAGAAGGCUCUGGCUAAUACCUGGGGCUCAUGACGGUACCGUAAGAAUAAGCACCGGCUAACUACGUG
rnacentral:rRNA from 1 species